CUAAUACCGGAUACGAGCUGCGAAGGCAUCUUCAGCAGCUGGAAAGAAUUUCGGUCCGGGAUGGGCUCGCGGCCUAUCAGCUAGUUGGUGAGGUAAUGGCUCACCAAGGCGUCGACGGGUAGCCGGCCUGAGAGGGUGACCGGCCACACUGGGACUGAGACACGRCCCAGACUCCUACGGGAGGCAGCAGUGGGGAAUAUUGCACAAUGGGCGAAAGCCUGAUGCAGCAACGCCGCGUGAGGGAUGACGGCCUUCGGGUUGUAAACCUCUUUUAGCAGGGAAGAAGCGAAAGUGACGGUACCUGCAGAAAAAGCGCCGGCUAACUACGUGCCAGCAGCCGCGGUAAUACGUAGGGCGCAAGCGUUAUCCGGAAUUAUUGGGCGUAAAGAGCUCGUAGGCGGUUUGUCGCGUCUGCUGUGAAAACCCGAGGCUCAACCUCGGGCCUGCAGUGGGUACGGGCAGACUAGAGUGCGGUAGGGGAGAUUGGAAUUCCUGGUGUAGCGGUGGAAUGCGCAGAUAUCAGGAGGAACACCGAUGGCGAAGGCAGAUCUCUGGGCCGUAACUGACGCUGAGGAGCGAAAGGGUGGGGAGCAAACAGGCUUAGAUACCCUGGUAGUCCACCCCGUAAACGUUGGGAACUAGUUGUGGGGUCCAUUCCACGGAUUCCGUGACGCAGCUAACGCAUUAAGUUCCCCGCCUGGGGAGUACGGCCGCAAGGCUAAAACUCAAAGGAAUUGACGGGGACCCGCACAAGCGGCGGAGCAUGCGGAUUAAUUCGAUGCAACGCGAAGAACCUUACCAAGGCUUGACAUAUACGAGAACGGGCCAGAAAUGGUCAACUCUUUGGACACUCGUAAACAGGUGGUGCAUGGUUGUCGUCAGCUCGUGUCGUGAGAUGUUGGGUUAAGUCCCGCAACGAGCGAACCCUCGUUCUAUGUUGCCAGCACGUAAUGGUGGGAACUCAUGGGAUACUGCCGGGGUCAACUCGGAGGAAGGUGGGGAUGACGUCAAAUCACAUGCCCCUUAUGUCUUGGGCUUCACGCAUGCUACAAUGGCCGGUACAAAGGGCUGCAAUACCGCAAGGUGGAGCGAAUCCCAAAAAGCCGGUCCCAGUUCGGAUUGAGGUCUGCAACUCGACCUCAUGAAGUCGGAGUCGCUAGUAAUCGCAG
rnacentral:rRNA from 1 species